CACACAUGUACGAGCACAUGUGUAUGUGCGUGAGUGUAUAUCUCACAGGCAAGGUUUGGUGAGAAAAACCGGAUAACAAACAAAAAAAUCUGUGAAUCUUUUUCACCCUUGGUCUUUUUUAUAGCUUUCCUUUCUACUUCUGUUCCAGUUUGCUUAGACAUUUGAGUGACUUUUAGGACAGUUACCUUGACCAACAGAGAGGAAAAUUGAAUUCUCUGCACCUUAUGGCUUUGAAAAAGUCUUAAGAAUUGCUUGGCGAAGUCGCCUAGAGAUUGCUUGAACCGGAUCAUACAGUAACCAUAAAUGCGUUCUUUAAGUCUGUGAGUCUGUCAGAAGGCCUCAUUUUAAAGAGACGGGUUCUGACAAGUUCAGAGGAAGGAAAAUGAGAAAAGAGGAAGUCUGGCGGGAAAUUCGGCUGAGGGAGCGGAGGGCAUAGUGGCGGAUGUGGCCGGAGGAAGGGAGGCAGAGGGCGUCAGAGCCUGAGACAAAGACGAGCCUGAGGCCUGAGGAGCCACCGUGUCUUCCUUUGUUCACGUCAGUUAAUCCAGCUGGAGCCCCGUUUACUUUCUGCAAGAACCACCGAGAGACAAGCUGGCUGUUCAGAGUUCAGUAUUUGGAAGACAUUUUUCAGAAGCGCAUGAAGUGAAUCUGUGGCUUCAAGGGAAGCAGCUGACAACACUUGUUGCCAAUGGUAAAGUAAGAGUUUUCAAGUGGAAAUUGUGGAUAGCUGCUCUGAGUACUGGAAAGCUCCCUAAUAAUUGAAGAGUUUUCUGACAAAGCGUGAUGUUAAUGACAGCGGCUCUUUGGGACUGUGUAAGGAAGCAUGUCGGCAUUGGAAAACUCUGCACGUAACCCAGGGAACCAUCGUUUUCCAAAUGACCGACACGCAGCACGACAAAGUCUACAGGGAGCUUCCCGUUGCUGCGGCAACAAACCACUGCAAACCCAGUGGUAUACACAGCAAGCUCGUGACCCCGCACCUCUGCGGGUCGGAGGUCUGGCGCGGGUCUCCCUGUGGCCCUCUCUGGAGGCUCCAGGGGAGAAACUGCUUCCUUGUCUUUCCCGCCUCGAGCCAACAGUGUGUGCGCUCAGCCAUGUCCAACUCGUUGCCACCCUUUGGACUGUA